rnacentral:rRNA from 1 species
UACAGAGGUCUCAAGCGUUGUUCGGAUUCAUUGGGCGUAAAGGGUGCGUAGGCGGCAGGGCAAGUCUGAUGUGAAAUCCCGGAGCUCAACUUCGGAACUGCACUGGAUACUGCCCGUGCUAGAGCACUGGAGAGGAGACUGGAAUUUACGGUGUAGCAGUGAAAUGCGUAGAUAUCGUAAGGAAGACCAGUGGCGAAGGCGAGUCUCUGGACAGUUGCUGACGCUGAGGCACGAAGGCCAGGGGAGCAAACGGG